GGAUGUGAGGGCGAUCUGGUUGCGACGUCCGUCACCCCCAUUGAUCACCAGGGUGACUCGGCUGACCUGGCUGGCUAGGCCCGUGUCCCCUUCCUGCCUCACCGCCCUACAUGCGUCCCUCCUGAAGCUGCACACUUGGUCAAAGAGGACAGCCAUCCCUGACAGAGGAGGACCCAUCUUUGGUCAAGCAUAUGAGUAGCUGUGCUCUCUGUUAGAAUCUCCAAGCCUGCUCUCGAAAAAGAGACGCAGCAAGGUUCUACCCCCAGGUCAGGAAGAUCCCCUGGAGGAGGAAAUGGCAACCCACCCUAGUAUUCUUGCCUG
ensembl:misc_RNA 7SK 7SK RNA